ensembl:snoRNA predicted gene, 23234
CCUGCCCUACCAAGAGAGACAUUUUAGGUGUGACUAUAGUGCCACGUGUGUGUCAGUAGGCGUCAGAAAGGAAAGAGAGGCUGUGUUUAUGCUUGGGAUUCUGAGCUAUGGACAUCUGAAUCAUGAGAAGCCAAACAUU